AGCUACACUGUUACAACAUGCAUACAAAUUGAAAUCUGCGUUCCCAAUCCGUGUAAAAAUGGAGGAACUUGCACUGACAGGGACAGUGAGUUCCAAUGCGCAUGUUUAACUGGCUAUGAAGGAGAUACUUGUCAAACAGAAAGGCCCAUUUUUGGAGUAGGAGCCGUGGUAGGUAUCGCAGUCGGCUGUAUUGUCGGCGGAAUGCUGCUAGUGGGCGCUGUUACACUCAUUAUUCUAUGUUGCCGGAAGGAGAAGAACAAAGAACAUGACAUAGCGGAAGCAGUUUACGAAGACGUCCGCACACCAGGCAGGGCGGUGUCUCAGCGAUCCGGCACCGGAAGUGACGUCUACUACUCCUAUCCCAUGGCACCUUUGCCCGUGCCUCCGCUUCCGGUACAACCUAGCGGCCAUUAUCAGGAGCUGAGGCCAGCGGUGUACCAGAGUCUACAAAGGCACCAGCGUACAUCACCUCAACCCCCGAACCCCACCGGAGAUCGAAGCGCCUUCACAAUCUCGCGUGAUUUUUCAACGUAGUUCCUGAGAAAAACGUAUACAGAUACUGUGUAUAUAUUACUCACAUCGCUUUAAAUAGAAGAAUAACAUAUAUUUGCCUAAAGAAGAAUAAAAACAAGGCU